CCUACGGGUGGCAGCAGUGAGGAAUAUUGGUCAAUGGACGAGAGCCUGAACCAGCGAAGCAGCGUGAAGGAUGACUGCUCUAGGGGUUGUAAACUUCUUUUAUAUGGGAAUAAAAUGUUCCACGUGUGGGAUUUUGUAUGUACCAUAUGAAUAAGGAUCGGCGAACUCCGUGCCAGCAGCCGCGGUAAUACGGAGGAUCCGAGCGUUAUCCGGAUUUAUUGGGUUUAAAGGGAGCGUAGGUGGAUUGUUAAGUCAGUUGUGAAAGUUUGCGGCUCAACCGUAGAAUUGCAGUUGAAACUGGCAGUCUUGAGUACAGGAGAGGUAGGCGGAAUUCGUGGUGUAGCGGUGAAAUGCUUAGAUAUCACGAAGAACUCCGAUUGCGAAGGCAGCUCACUGGACUGCAACUGACACUGAGGCUCGAAAGUGUGGGUAUCAAACAGGAUUAGAUACCCUUGUAGUC
rnacentral:rRNA from 1 species